UACGGGGGGGGCAAGCGUUGUUCGGAAUUACUGGGCGUAAAGGGUUCGUAGGUGGCCCGCUAAGUCACACGUGAAAUCCCUCAGCUUAACUGGGGAACUGCGUGUGAGACUGGCAGGCUUGAGUGCAGGAGAGGAACGCGGAAUUCCAGGUGUAGCGGUGAAAUGCGUAGAUAUCUGGAGGAAUACCGGUGGCGAAGGCGGCAUCCUGGACCGAGAUUGACACUGAGGAGCGAAAGCCAGGGGAGCAAACGGG
rnacentral:rRNA from 1 species